rnacentral:rRNA from 1 species
CCUACGGGGGGCUGCAGUGGGGAAUAUUGGACAAUGGGCGAAAGCCUGAUCCAGCCAUGCCGCGUGUGUGAAGAAGGCCUUCGGGUUGUAAAGCACUUUCAGUGGGGAAGAAAGCCUUGGGGCUAAUACCCUCGAGGAAGGACAUCACCCACAGAAGAAUCACCGGCUAACUCCGUGCCAGCAGCCGCGGUAAUACGGAGGGUGCGAGCGUUAAUCGGAAUUACUGGGCGUAAAGCGCGCGUAGGCGGUCUGAUAAGCCGGUUGUGAAAGCCCCGGGCUCAACCUGGGAACGGCAUCCGGAACUGUCAGGCUAGAGUGCAGGAGAGGAAGGUAGAAUUCCCGGUGUAGCGGUGAAAUGCGUAGAGAUCGGGAGGAAUACCAGUGGCGAAGGCGGCCUUCUGGACUGACACUGACGCUGAGGUGCGAAAGCGUGGGUAGCAAACAGGAUUAGAUACCCUGGUAGUC